rnacentral:rRNA from 1 species
AUACGUAGGUGGCAAGCGUUGUCCGGAUUUAUUGGGCGUAAAGCGAGCGCAGGCGGUCUCUUAAGUCUGAUGUGAAAGCCCCCGGCUCAACCGGGGAGGGUCAUUGGAAACUGGGAGACUCGAGUGCAGAAGAGGAGAGUGGAAUUCCAUGUGUAGCGGUGAAAUGCGUAGAUAUAUGGAGGAACACCAGUGGCGAAGGCGGCUCUCUGGGCUGUAACUGACGCUGAGGCUCGAAAGCGUGGGGAGCAAACAGGAUUAGAUACCCUGGUAGUCCACGCCGUAAACGAUGAGUGCUAAGUGUUGGAGGGUUUCCGCCCUUCAGUGCUGCAGCUAACGCAUUAAGCACUCCGCCUGGGGAGUACGGCCGCAAGGCUGAAACUCAAAGGAAUUGACGGGG